rnacentral:lncRNA from 1 species
GGAAAACAUAAAAAUCCCUGCCCUCCAGAAGGUGACAUUUUAGUGGAAGGAAACGAACCAAUAAGAUAAGUAAAUUAUUUAGUUUGUCAAAUGGGACAGGUGCUACGGGGUGGGGGGAAUUAGCCAGGGAAGAGGCCCAGGAGUGCUGAUGAGAGGGAUAGAUUGCAAUUUUGAAAACGGAUCAAGGAAGGUCUCACCGAGGAGGUGAGAUGGGAAGCCAGGGGUGGUUGCAUCCCUGCUUUUGCUGCUUGACUCUGCUCUUACUCCUAGAGGGCACAAUCUGUCAGCAAAUCCUGCCUGCUGGGCCUUCUCAUCACAACCAGAGCCAAACCACUUCUCAGCACCUCCGUUGCUUCCGCCCUCGUCUGAGCCUCCACCGCUCUCACCUGGGCGCCCUAUUUCCACCUUGUGCCUUCUGUCGAUUCCUCACUCACCAGCCCGAGGAAUCCUUGCACAGAAGUCAGAUCACAUUCCUUCCCUGUUGUCAAGGGAAGAAGACAAAUGGGCAUGAGAAGGAGAGGAUCAGGGGCUUGGAAGCCAAGAUUUUGCCAAUUUGACUUAUGCAACUUGGGCAAAAAAAAAUUUUGAGCCUCAGUCUUUUCAUCUGUGAAAUAGGGAUAACAAACUCUGAUACGAGGGGUCAGUAGUGACAAGGAUGUGAAAGCAGCCAUGAUGGCAUGGCAGGGCCUAUCUGGAGUUUGGCCUUUGCAAGGGGGUAGAUGACACCCUUGUGUGUUCUAGGUCCUUUGAGAUAGAUUAUCUCACUGAAGGCUCAGCAACUCCGCGGUGUUCCCAGAGGUGAGGAAACACACUGAGAGACAGAACACGACUUGGCCAGGGCCACCCUGUGGGGCACGCUGGCACCUGCACAGCCCAGCUUCACCUGGUUCCAGCCCUGCCCGCGCUCUGCUCCCCACUUCCCGUAACUCUGGGCUGGCGUCAGCAGGCAGGCCUGCCAGGAGGCUGGAGCUGCCAACGACCUAUUUUUCUAGGCAAGAAGAGCCAUUUGGAGUUAGAGGUCUCAGCUGUGAAGCCAGAACAAUAAAAAUAAAAACAGCGCGGACUCCUGGGCAGCCUGGACCAGGGAACCAACUGCCCCAAGAGUUGCUGCUCACCAGGCUGGAAGGUGAGGCAGCUGAGACUUCAGGAGGCCUCUGCUCACACGCCACCUCCUUGAGAUGCCUUGCCAGACCACCCUGUUAAAGUAGUCACCCCCACCCCUGCCCAAUAUGCCCUACCCUCUUCCCUAUUUUAUCUUCAUAGCAUGCAUCGCGGCCUGCUAAUAUUGUGUGUCUCCAUUGCAUUUUGUCUGUCUCCCUGACUAGCUCCAGGUCAGUUUAUCCUAGUGGCUUGCACUCCAGUGAUCUCUCAGACUAGCCCCGUGGGGCAAGUUAUUUUGAUGAUCUGUGCUUCCUUCGGGGUAAUGAUAGGACCUUACCUGAAAGGUUUCUUGUAAGGGUUAAAUGAGUUAAUAUCGGUUAAGUGUCGGCCACUGCCAUUGUUUUGUCCCAGAGCUGUAGCUCCAGGGUCUUCAACAGUAAACAGUAGGUUGUCAAUAAAUAUGUAUUAAAUUUAAAAACUGGGCUGGGCAUGGUGGCUUACACCUGUAAUCCCAGCACUUUGGGAGGCAGAGGUGGGAGGAUUGCUUGAGCCCAGGCGUUCCAGGCUG